CUCAUGGUGUUUAGCUGCUGGUGAAGGUACAACUCUGCUACGCUCACUGAGAUUAUACGUCCUGAAUGGUUUCCAUGGCGUACAAGGUUGUAGAUUGUCAUCUUAUUUAAUAUAUGCAGUUCCGUGUGGGCUUAUGGUGUUUGGAUGCUGACGUUGGCAUUGCUGAUCUAAGCACUAAGGUCCUUUAUGUGAAGGAUUAUAAUUUCCUGGCUAGACGAAAGAAUAGGGAUUUCUUUUGUUCUAUUCUCGUUUCU